rnacentral:rRNA from 1 species
UUAAAAUGUAAAAUUAUUACUUAAUUAGUAUUAGUUAUGUUCUUGAAAAUUAAAGAUUUUGGCGGUAUUAUAGUCUUUUUAGAGGAACCUGUUCUAUAAUUGAUAAUCCACGAUUAAUUAAACUUAUUUUAUUAAUUUGUAUAUCGUCGUAGUUUGAAUGUUUUAGAAGAAUUAGAAUGUUCAAGAUUUAUUAUUAUAAAAGAAUUCAGAUCAAGGUACAGUUUAUAGAUAAGGAGAAAUGGGUUACAAUAAAUUUAUUUAAAAUGGAUUAAAUAAUGAAAUUUAUUUAUGAAAGUGGAUUUAACAGUAAUUUUAAAUAUAUUUUUAAAAUGAAUUUAGCUCUAUAAUGUGU